rnacentral:other from 2 species
AGAACCCUGCCGUGUUCGCGUUCGCGGAUAACAUGGGCCCGGCCCGUUAGUACGUUAAAGGGAGGCUUAGCCGGUUGUUUGAUGUCAGGCCUUCGCUGGAAGGCAGAUUUCAGCAAGGCGGCCACCCACCUGGAAUUCACCGGGAGACGUGAGCCCUCAAGUUCCGCAGUCGGCAUAAUGUGGGGCCUCA